UCCCAAGCGAAAUUGUGGGCAAGAGAAUC
rnacentral:piRNA from 2 species